GCUUUCCGGGGCUCUGUUGGUAGGGCAUUGCACUAACAAUGCAAAAGUUGUGGGUUCAAAAGCCAGGGAAAGCA